rnacentral:miRNA from 1 species
UGAGAUGAAGAUUUGGAUGAC